rnacentral:rRNA from 1 species
UACGUAGGGCGCAAGCGUUGUCCCGGAAUUAUUGGGCGUAAAGAGCUCGUAGGCGGUUUGUCGCGUCUGCCGUGAAAGUCCGGGGCUCAACUCCGGAUCUGCGGUGGGUACGGGCAGACUAGAGUGAUGUAGGGGAGACUGGAAUUCCUGGUGUAGCGGUGAAAUGCGCAGAUAUCAGGAGGAACACCGAUGGCGAAGGCAGGUCUCUGGGCAUUAACUGACGCUGAGGAGCGAAAGCAUGGGGAGCGAACAG